rnacentral:tRNA from 1 species
GGGGUUGUGGCUCAGUGGUAGAGUGCUCGCCUCGAAUGUGUGAGACCCUGGGUUCAAUCCUCAGCACCACA